rnacentral:rRNA from 1 species
GACGAACGCUGGCGGCGUGCCUAAUACAUGCAAGUUGAGCGAUGAAGCUUGGUGCUUGCACCAAUUUGAAGAGCAGCGAACGGGUGAGUAACGCGUGGGGAAUCUGCCUUUGAGCGGGGGACAACAUUUGGAAACGAAUGCUAAUACCGCAUAAUAACUUUAAACAUAAGUUUUAAGUUUGAAAGAUGCAAUUGCAUCACUCAAAGAUGAUCCCGCGUUGUAUUAGCUAGUUGGUGAGGUAAAGGCUCACCAAGGCGAUGAUACAUAGCCGACCUGAGAGGGUGAUCGGCCACAUUGGGGCUGAGACACGGCCCAAACUCCUACGGGAGGCAGCAGUAGGGAAUCUUCGGCAAUGGACGAAAGUCUGACCGAGCAACGCCGCGUGAGUGAAGAAGGUUUUCGGAUCGUAAAACUCUGUUGGUAGAGAAGAACGUUGGUGAGAGUGGAAAGCUCAUCAAGUGACGGUAACUACCCAGAAAGGGACGGCUAACUACGUG